CCUACGGGAGGCAGCAGUGAGGAAUAUUGGUCAAUGGGCGCGAGCCUGAACCAGCCAAAUAGCGUGAAGGAUGAAUGCCCUACGGGUUGUAAACUUCUUUUAUAAAGGAAUAAAGUGAGGCACGUGUGCCUUUUUGUAUGUACUUUAUGAAUAAGGAUCGGCUAACUCCGUGCCAGCAGACGCGGUAAUACGGAGGAUCCGAGCGUUAUACGGAUUGGUUGGGUUUAAAGGGAGCGUAGAUGGGUUGUUAAGUCAGUUGUGAAAGUUUGCGGCUCAACCGUAAAAGUGCAAUUGAUACUGGCAGUCUUGAGUACAGUUGAGGUAGGCGGAAUUCGUGGUGUAGCGGUGAAAUGCUUAGAUAUCACGAAGAACUCCGAUUGCGAAGGCAGCUUACUAAUCUGCCACUGACAUUGAUGCUCGAAAGUGUGGGUAUCAAACAGGAUUAGAUACCCCUGUAGUC
rnacentral:rRNA from 1 species